CAUCACAUGUAGACUACACACAUCCUAGACUCUAUCAGGUGAACCAUCACAUGUAGACUACACACAUCCUAGACUCUAUCAGGUAAACCAUCACAUGUAGACUACACACAUCCUCUAUCAGGUGAACCAUCACAUGUAGACUACACACAUCCUAGACUCCAUCAGGUGAACCAUCACAUGUAGACUACACACAUCCUAGACUCCAUCAGGUGAACCAUCACAUGUAGACUACACACAUCCUAGACUCCAUCAGGUAAACCAUCACAUGUAGACUACACACAUCCUAGACUCUAUCAGGUGAACCAACACAUGUAGACUACACACAUCCUAGACUCUAUCAGGUGAACCAUCACAUGUAGACUACACACAUCCUCUAUCAGGUGAACCAUCACAUGUAGACUACACACAUCCUAGACUCUAUCAGGUUAACCAUCACAUGUAGACUACACACAUCCUCUAUCAGGUGAACCAUCACAUGUAGACUACACACAUCCUAGACUCUAUCAGGUGAACCAUCACAUGUAGACUACACACAUCCUCUAUCAGGUGAACCAUCACAGGUAGUCUACACACAUCCUCUAUCAGGUGAACCAUCACAUGUAGACUACACACAUCCUAGACUCUAUCAGGUGAACCAUCACAUGUAGACUACACACAUCCUCUAUCAGGUGAACCAUCACAUGUAGACUACACACAUCCUAGACUCUAUCAGGUGAACCAUCACAUGUAGUCUACACACAUCCUAGACUCUAUCAGGUGAACCAUCACAUGUAGUCUACACACAUCCUCUAUCAGGUGAACCAUCACAUGUAGACUACACACAUCCUCUAUCAGGUGAACCAUCACAUGUAGACUACACACAUCAUAGACUCUAUCAGGUGAACCAUCACAUGUAGACUACACACAUCCUCUAUCAGGUGAACCAUCACAUGUAGUCUACACACAUCCUAGACUCUAUCAGGUGAACCAUCACAUGUAGACUACACACAUCCUAGACUCUAUCAGGUGAACCAUCACAUGUAGACUACACACAUCCUAGACUCUAUCAGGUGAACCAUCACAUGUAGACUACACACAUCCUAGACUCUAUCAGGUGAACCAUCACAUGUAGACUACACACUUCAUAGACUAUAUCAGGUGAACCAUCACAUGUAGUCUACACACAUCCUCUAUCAGGUGAACCAUCACAUGUAGACUACACACAUCCUCUAUCAGGUGAACCAUCACAUGUAGACUACACACAUCCUCUAUCAGGUGAACCAUCACAUGUAGACUACACACAUCAUAGACUCUAUCAGGUGAACCAUCACAUGUAGUCUACACACAUCCUCUAUCAGGUGAACCAUCACAUGUAGACUACACACAUCCUAGACUCUAUCAGGUGAACCAUCACAUGUAGACUACACACAUCAUAGACUCUAUCAGGUGAACCAUCACAUGUAGUCUACACACAUCCUCUAUCAGGUGAACCAUCACAUGUAGACUACACACAUCCUAGACUCUAUCAGGUGAACCAUCACAUGUAGACUACACACAUCCUAGACUCCAUCAGGUGAACCAUCACAUGUAGACUACACACAUCCUAGACUCUAUCAGGUGAACCAUCACAUGUAGACUACACACAUCCUCUAUCAGGUGAACCAUCACAUGUAGACUACACACAUCCUAGACUCUAUCAGGUGAACCAUCACAUGUAGACUACACACAUCCUCUAUCAGGUGAACCAUCACAUGUAGACUACACACAUCCUCUAUCAGGUGAACCAUCACAUGUAGACUACACACAUCCUAGACUCUAUCAGGUGAACCAUCACAUGUAGACUACACACAUCCUAGACUCUAUCAGGUGAACCAUCACAUGUAGACUACACACAUCCUCUAUCAGGUGAACCAUCACAUGUAGACUACACACAUCCUCUAUCAGGUGAACCAUCACAUGUAGACUACACACAUCCUAGACUCUAUCAGGUGAACCAUCACAUGUAGACUACACACAUCCUCUAUCAGGUGAACCAUCACAUGUAGACUACACACAUCAUAGACUCUAUCAGGUGAACCAACACAUGUAGUCUACACAUCCCAGAAAUAGAUCCCCCCCCAAAUCAAACAUCAGACAAUUUAAAUCCGCUACACUGGAAGAGCAACGUUCAUGACUGGUACACUAAGAGCAUUUACAUUAUUUGAAACGGUCGCCAUUUUAUGCUUUCUCAUCAGCUGAUGCUAAUCUUUAACAUUCAUUUUAAUUGAGGCCAUCUGAUUUCUCCUGAGGGCAGCAGGAUCUAGACAAUAUAACACAUUGAACAUGGACUCAACUGACAUUUUUAUCACUUUAGAAUUAUUAAAACAUCCGACAAAGCAUUUUGGGGGGUUAACAAUACAUUUUAAAAACUUUGGAGUU